CCUACGGGAGGCAGCAGUGAGGAAUAUUGGUCAAUGGGCGGAAGCCUGAACCAGCCAAGUAGCGUGCGGGAUGAAGGCCCUACGGGUCGUAAACCGCUUUUGCACGGGGAUAACACCCUCCACUUGUGGAGGUCUGCAGGUACCGUGCGAAUAAGGGCCGGCUAAUUCCGUGCCAGCAGCCGCGGUAAUACGGAAGGCCCGAGCGUUAUCCGGAUUCAUUGGGCUUAAAGGGAGCGUAGGCGGGCGUUCAAGUCAGCUGUAAAAUCGCGGGGCUAAACCGCGCCCCGCAGUUGAAACUGGACGCAUUGAGUUCACAACAGGCAGGCGGAAUUCGUGGUGUAGCGGUGAAAUGCAUAGAUAUCACGAGGAACCCCGAUUGCGAAGGCAGCCUGCCGGGGUGCGACUGACGCUGAGGCUCGAAGGUGCGGGUAUCAAACAGGAUUAGAUACCCCAGUAGUC
rnacentral:rRNA from 1 species